UACGUAGGGUGCAAGCGUUAAUCGGAAUUACUGGGCGUAAAGCGUGCGUAGGCGGCUAUGUAAGUCAGAUGUGAAAUCCCUGGGCUUAACCUAGGAACUGCAUUUGUGACUGCAUUGCUAGAGUGUGGUAGAGGGAGAUGGAAUUCCGCAUGUAGCAGUGAAAUGCGUAGAUAUGCGGAGGAACACCAAUGGCGAAGGCAAUCUCCUGGACCUGCACUGACGCUCAUGCACGAAAGCGUGGGGAGCAAACAGG
rnacentral:rRNA from 1 species